AGCUGCGUGUUAUAUUACUGUAAGAUGGACAGGAUGGUGGAGCGGAAAGGUCAUGCAUGCACUUUGGAGUUUGAAAGACCCAGGUGUGAAUGGAGUAGCUGACCCAAGCCCUGGACCUUGGUCUGUCACCUAACUGGUCUGGGCCUCAAGAUGCUCACCUAUGAAAAGGAAGGAUGAAAAUCUCACAGCUUCAUAUAUUAGCCGCAUUAACAGCUGCCAAGACAGAUGCAUGGCUCUCAACUGUGAUCCUUCCUCUUCACAACCAUAAAAUGUCAGAGACAGUAAGAAGAGGAUGAAAGGAGGAGGUGCAAGAGCUGGUUCAAACACUCUUUGGAAGCAGCGACCACUACAUAUACAUACUUGUAUGCAAGCCAGAAGUCCAGCAAUGAAUAGUA